rnacentral:tRNA from 1 species
GGACUCAUAGCUUAAUUGGCAAAGCAGCCGGCUCUUACCCGGUCGUUCUGAGAUCGUUGCUCAGUGAGUCCACCA